UCUCCUUCCUCCUGUGGAGGCUGCGAUCCUGGGCAGAAAUGAAAUCAUCUGUGUAUACAAAGACUAUAUACAGACAUGCUCAUGGAUGCUGUCUAGACCUGGCCAGACCUGGAACCCACCCAAAUGCUCAUCCGCAGUGCAUAGCUUGUUUGCCAAGAAGGAUGGAAUGAAUGUAAAACUUCAGACACUAAGUUCAAAAGAAGAAGCGGUAACGUUGUCAGAGUUAAAGUUUAGGAAGAGAAGAAAGACCCACCUGGUGCUUAGCUCAUCAGCACUGCCAUUACAAAAUGACAGAAGAACAGAAAAUAUUUGCAACACAUAUAGUUGACUCAUCUCUAGAUUAUACAAAGAUUAUUUGGAACUUAUUAGUAAGGUGAGAAAUACCCCCAAAACAAUUAGAUAUUCAUAUGGUAUAUGUAUGUAUGUAUGUAUGUAUGUAUGUAUGUAUGUAUGUAUGUCUGUAUAUAUGUAUGUAUCUUUAUAUAUAUCCAUUCAUAUACCUAUAUGAGUACAUAAUAAGCCCAUUCA
rnacentral:lncRNA from 1 species